rnacentral:rRNA from 1 species
UACGGAAGGCAGCAGUGGGGAAUAUUGCACAAUGGGCGCAAGCCUGAUGCAGCCAUGCCGCGUGUAUGAAGAAGGCCUUCAGGUUGUAAAGUACUUUCAGUCGUGAGGAAGGUGUUAAGGUUAAUAACCUUAGCAAUUGACGUUAGCGACAGAAGAAGCACCGGCUAACUCCGUGCCAGCAGCCGCGGUAAUACGGAGGGUGCGAGCGUUAAUCGGAAUUACUGGGCGUAAAGGGCACGCAGGCGGUUAAUUAAGUUGGAUGUGAAAUCCCCGGGCUUAACCUGGGAAUGGCAUUCAAGACUGGUUAGCUAGAGUCUUGUAGAGGGGGUAGAAUUCCGAUGUGUAGCGGUGAAAUGCGUAGAGAUGUGGAGGAAUACCGGUGGCGAAGGCGGCCCCUGGACAAAGGCUGACGCUCAUGUGCGAAAGCGUGGGGAGCAAACAGGGAUUAGAUACC